CUCACUUUAGGAUGAAUACCAAGUGGCACCUCCCAAAGUAGACUUUGUCCCAAAGGCCACUCAUGGAGCUGCCAAGAGUUCAGAAAUGUUGUACCCUGGUUCCCUGGGGGUCCUUCCACCCUCAGCUUGUAGCAUGGGUUGUCUCCCACAUAGCUGCCUGGAGAUGGCAGCCAGGGACAUCAGAGUGCCUGCCAGGACCUUCCUGCAGGAGUUCAUUGAGCACUGCCCAGGAAAUCCAAGGCCUGUGAAAAUUUAACUCUGAACUCAAGGCUGAGCAGGAAGAGGAGAUGCGGUGGGAAGCACACCAUACUUUGUCAUCAGAGAAUGCCUCAGCACAGGGGACCAGAGGAAUGGAAAGGUGCCACCAAGCUGCCAUCUCAGAGGACAUUUCCUCUGGAACCUUGGAACAGAAACUGGAAUUCAGAGCUAGAUCUAGAACAUCAACUGUCCAAUAGCUCCGCUUUUGAGGAAGGAAACUGAGAUCCUCAAAAGCCCUCUGACUGGCUCGAGGUCCUCCAGAGAGUGAAAUACAAAUGGAGCUCCAGACUCUGGGGCAGCGUGUCACCCCUUAGAUCGUGGGGACCGGCAGAGCCUGAGCCUUUGGAGAAGUCAGAAUGGCUUUUGUCCCCGAGCCCCUGCCUUACAGUGGCUGGAAGUCCAUGGUUCCUCCCGGGCCUCUGAAGCCAGGACACAUGCUCACUCGGAGGCUGGGCCCCUGCUUCAGUAUCUACACCUGUCUCUACCCUUCAAGCUACCAGCAAUUUCCUGUCACCCGGCUCUGGUCUAUGGCAGGUCCUGCCUCCAGUUCUGAACCAGCUUCCAGGACUGUCUUGGAAUCUGCACGCAUAGUGUGCCCUUCUCUGUACUAAGUCUUACCUGCCAGAAAAACAAAGAUUUGGCUUUGGACUCCUGAGAAAGUCUGUUCCUUGCAGGACCGUGGAUCAGAUGCUGCGUGAAGGCUGGGAACAGGACUCCCUGGGAACGCCAUGUCUCAGGCUUGCAUUCAUGUGCAGUUAAUUCAGAUGCUUACAGGAGACAGGCCAGGUAUGCUAGGUACAGGAGAGCAUCUGGGUUAGCUUCCCUUGAGGAAGAGGCUGAUCACCUGAGCCCAUCCUCUCUGUCCACAGCUUUUUAGCCCAACCGCCAAGUUCUUGUGGACAAAUCAGGGUCCCGUCCCCCCCACCCCGCCCCUUCUUUGUUCUCUCUCUUCUGCUCCAGGCUCGGGUCUCCAGGGCCUCAGGGAAGGUCAAGUGCUGAUUGCCUGCUUUGGUUUUCAGACAUCAAAAAAUGGUUCCCCGGGUGAACAAUGGCCUGACCAUCUGCGAGAUGUUAACUGCAUAAUGGAAUGUAACGCGAAGGGCUUUUAAAAACACGAAGAGAGAUUUUAUUGUAACUAAUCGUGAUGGAUGGCGAGUGUGGUCACACUUGGGUCGUAAAUCUUUGUGCCAAGCCUGGGACUUAAAAAAGCCAACGAACUCCGGAGUUCAGAGAGCCUUGUCCUCAGCCAUGAGCAAAUCACAUGGGAAAGGUCUGGGUACCUCGUUUGCAUCUGCGCCCUUCUUCAGUGAAGUCAUUGGCUGCCUCUGCUUGAGUGAUAGGCUGCCAGGGUGACAUCCCCUCUCACCUCGGUUCCCAGGAGUGGGCUCCGAGGCUGACUGAAGGGGAAGGGGCUAGACAGAGCCAAGGAAACUCUCCCCCCCACACACACACACUCUUCUCCCAUUUAAUUAGAGAGAAAAACCAGUCACAGAUCAGGGCAGGCUCUCAACGGCAAAGUUCACGGGUAAUAGCUGCUCCGACUAGCCGCGUUCAUUGUUUGAGAACCUUCUGAGCACUUGUGAAGCUGGCCAAGGCGCUUUCCUCAUGAAGUUCGUUGAUGAAUCAGUUAAGGUUUCACAGUAUUGCUGAGGGAGCAGGAAGGCCGGACACAAGUCGGCACCUUCUGCUACUCCAAGACCCUGGGAAAGACACCUGACCUCUGUGCCUUGGUCUUCUCCUCUGUGCCUUGGUCUUCUCCUCUGUGCCUUGGUCUUCUCCUCUGUGCCUUGGUCUUCUCCUCUGUGCCUUGGUCUUCUGCUAAGUGGGUAUAAUAGCUGCCAGAAAAAUGGAUUUGUGUGAUGCCGUUUAUAUCUCAAAGCACUUGGUAGGAGGUUAUGAUAUACUAUUUUUACUCAAUUGGAAUUUGAAAAACAGUUCAAACAAUAUACCAGACAUCAAUAUUUUUUUUUCCUGGAGAGACAACAGCAAGAAAGAGUGGAGAGGGGCGGAGAAGUUGGAAAACUGUGAGGGUCUCCCUUUCAAGGUGUAGAUGUGGCUUGGCUUCUGGUCACAUUUGCUUCCUCCCACUUCAAAAGCAAAAACAAGGAGAGAGCCAGAACUCAGUCCUGUAGACAUGCAGGUGCUAUAGCCUGAAUGAGUCCCUCUAAAAAUCAUGUGCUAAAACACAGCACCAACCCAAAGUGACUUUGGGACAUGAUUAAAUCAAGAAGAUGGAGCCCUCUUGAAUGGGAUUAGCGUGUUCCAGAUAGCUGCCUAUCUCUUUUGUGGCCUGGGAACUAAGAAAGAAGAUCACAUUAAAUCUGCCAGUGCCCUGAGCUUUCCAGCCUCCAGCUCAGUAAGCCUAAGUCUGUGGUUUAUAAGCCCCGAGUAGGGCGGUGGUGAGCUCUCAGAAUAGUGGGGACUGCGGCAAAUGCUCACUUUGCAAAGAUGUUUAGAGAGAACUUUCCUGUGGGUCUUUAUCAGCUGAUAUUUCACUUUGUAGAAUAUUAUACCGGCCCCCAAUUCAGAACUUUACUGAUAUUAAGCAAUUCACCGUCUUCAAGGCAAGGAGGUCAGUGCCCCAGGGUCACAGAAAGCUCCUUUGAGCAGGACGGACGCCAUGGGCUCUCCAGGUGCCUUUCUGCUGUGUCAGCAGACAGAACAGGCUGAAGGUCACAGAGAAUGGGCUGAGCACUGUUGGUUCCCAUGGCCCGCACCUGCCGAUCCCUUCUUUUCUGAUAUCGAGACGUCUUCCUAUUCUCGGGGUUCCUCCGUGUCUGAGGAGGGUAAGGCAGAACCACUCUGGGACUCCUUUCACCUCCAUUUUCUCAGUUUCCAGAAAUGCUUUACAGCUUGGGGACCGUUUAUUGAAGUAUUUUAAGGUCUCUAAUGUAACUACAGACUGUCUCUUACUCUUAGAUUUUUUUUAUCCCAAAACUUUCUAGAGAAUUCUACAAACUUGGGGGAGAUAAUUGGACUCUAGUGUCAACUUUAAAGCUGUUCUCUGGAGGCUGUUUGAUACUUUUCAAAGUUGUUAAGGCCAGCCUUGGGACUAAAAGAAAAUACUUUAUGUAAAUAUUCUGUGGCGAGUUUUAAAGAAUAUAUUCCUCCUGGAGAGGGAAUAGAACGCACCAUGUAUGAAUCAACCUUACAUAACUCAGUAUUUAACACUUGGAAUACUUAUGUGGUGGGGCUAUUUAAAUGGCAAUAAUUUGUUUUCAUUUUCUGACACAGCAUCUAGCUAUGUAGCCCAGGCUGGCCUGAACUCACGGCCCUCCUAUCUCAGCCUUCCAGAUGCUGGGGUCAUAAGUCAGUACCGACACUCCUGGACUAUCUUUUGGCCCAGUCUGAGAAUAGUGUCCACCUAUCUGCAAGGCUUUCGAUUUAGGGGUUUGAUCUGUUUAUAGAUGGUGCCGGUAAUGUUUGGUUUUUCUGUUUGUUUGUACUUUAGGCUUAUUUGAUUCUCCUCAUUCCCUUUUGUUGUAUGACUUAUGUUGACUGCCUUGCUUUCAUUAAAAAUAAUUAGUACAUUUCCCACUCUUGUUCCGUUAGUGGCAACCUUUGAGUUUUUCAGAUGUGCCUUGGAUUGUUUUUCUCUGAUACUGUAAAUCAGUAUCUAUCAAAGCUUCCCAUGUGUAUAAUGGAAAAUGUCUUGAAUUUGUCUCUUUCCCUCAUUAAAUUGAUUUUCUGCAGUCCCCA